UUCGCUAUUACGCCAGCUGGCGAAAGGGGGANNNUGCUGCAANGNCGAUUAAGUUGGGUAACNNCAGGGUUUUCCCAGUCANGACGUUGUAAAACGACGGCCCAGUGAAUUGUANUNCGACUCANUAUAGGGCGAAUUGGGCCCGACGUCGCAUGCUCCCGGCCGCCAUGGCGGCCGCGGGAAUUCGAUUAGAGUUUGAUCCUGGCUCAGAUUGAACGNGGGCGGCGUGCUUAACACAUGCAAGUCGAACGUGAAAGUCNUUCGGGGCGAGUAAAGUGGCGCACGGGUGAGUAACGCGUGGAUAAUCUACCCUUAAGAUGGGGAUAACGGCUGGAAACGGUCGCUAAUACCGAAUACGCUCCCGAUUUUAUCGUUGGGGGGAAAGAUGGCCUCUGCUUGCAAGCUAUCGCUUAAGGAUGAGUCCGCGUCCCAUUAGCUAGUUGGCGGGGUAACGGCCCACCAAGGCGACGAUGGGUAGCCGGUCUGAGAGGAUGACCGGCCACACUGGAACUGGAACACGGUCCAGACUCCUACGGGAGGCAGCAGUGGGGAAUAUUGCGCAAUGGGCGAAAGCCUGACGCAGCGACGCCGCGUGAGGGAUGAAGGUUCUCGGAUCGUAAACCUCUGUCAGGGGGGAAGAAACCCCCUCGUGUGAAUAAUGCGAGGGCUUGACGGUACCCCCAAAGGAAGCACCGGCUAACUCCGUGCCAGCAGCCGCGGUAAUACGGAGGGUGCAAGCGUUAAUCGGAAUCACUGGGCGUAAAGCGCACGUAGGCGGCUUGGUAAGUCAGGGGUGAAAUCCCACAGCCCAACUGUGGAACUGCCUUUGAUACUGCCAGGCUUGAGUACCGGAGAGGGUGGCGGAAUUCCAGGUGUAGGAGUGAAAUCCGUAGAUAUCUGGAGGAACACCGGUGGCGAAGGCGGCCACCUGGACAAUCACUAGUGAAUUCGCGGCCGCCUGCAGGUCGACCAUAUGGGAGAGCUCCCNA
rnacentral:rRNA from 1 species